GAUGAACGCUGGCGGCAGGCUUAACACAUGCAAGUCGAGCGGGGGAAGGUAGCUUGCUACCGGACCUAGCGGCGGACGGGUGAGUAAUGCUUAGGAAUCUGCCUAUUAGUGGGGGACAACAUCUCGAAAGGGAUGCUAAUACCGCAUACGUCCUACGGGAGAGAGCAGGGGAUCACUUGUGACCUUGCGCUAAUAGAUGAGCCUAAGUCGGAUUAGCUAGUUGGUGGGGUAAAGGCCUACCAAGGCGACGAUCUGUAGCGGGUCUGAGAGGAUGAUCCGCCACACUGGGACUGAGACACGGCCCAGACUCCUACGGGAGGCAGCAGUGGGGAAUAUUGGACAAUGGGGGGAACCCUGAUCCAGCCAUGCCGCGUGUGUGAAGAAGGCCUUAUGGUUGUAAAGCACUUUAAGCGAGGAGGAGGCUCUUUUGGUUAAUACCCAAGAUGAGUGGACGUUACUCGCAGAAUAAGCACCGGCUAACUCUGUGCCAGCCGCCGCCGUAA
rnacentral:rRNA from 1 species